AAAGCAAGCCGGCGAAGCACCUCACAAAGGCGUUAUUGUAGCCACCCGGGGGGGGGGGCUCGCUCCCAUUCAGCGCUCUCUUAAUGGGGGGCGGGCAACGGAGAGAGCCUCAGCAGCUGAAGCCUAUCAUCAGAAACCAGCCUCACCGCCCCUUCUCCGACCCUCCAUGGCCCAUUACUUGGGAGAGACAGGCGGUGACUUCUGCUUUGGAUUGAACAAAAGGCAGUGGGAAGCACAGGCCCCAGUGAGGGGGAAGGGGGCUAAAAGCCCAAAGAGAAGCUCCACGUCUGCCCCCAACACCUGGCCCUUCCUACAAAGGUAAGCCAUGCAGGCUGCUGGGCACCACUGUCUGCCAGCUUCCUGGUCCAGAUGUUGCCUUCCAUCACAAGGCCCGAUGAAGAGGGCUCUCCUUCCCCCUGCUUUGGCCUGCAGAGCCUCCUGACCUAACUCCUUGGCUUUCCACUUCAUUGCUUUGUUCUCAGCAUCUUCUCCACCCUCAUGCUGGUCUUUGUGUCUCCCCACCAGAGGAACCAAAGUGUUGGCCUUACCAUUUUCAUCAAAGAGCCUGAGC
rnacentral:lncRNA from 12 species